GGCGCUCAGUAUUGUAUUCAGUCUGUGUGUUAUCUCCUAUAGGUUCUGACUCCAGGAGGAGAAGUCCCCCCGAGAGAUGUCCCCGUCCUCUGUAUUCCCAGGACUGUCCAGAGGAGAAGCUCCCAGAGAACCAUCAGGAUGAAAAUCUGAUGGAUAUUAAGGUUGAGGUAAAAGAUGAAGCAGAAGAGGAGACGGAUUUAUGGGGCGAUCAGCAGGAUGGACUCAUAGAAGGAAAUCCCCCCGAGAG